AUGAUGUUAGAGAUGGAGACAGAGACAGAGACAGAGUUAGAGAGAGAGAAGUGCGAUGGAGAAGGUGAUGUGGUUUGAACCACCGCACGAACACCUGCUCGAACACCACCACCGGAGUUGCUUCAUCCCCAACACAAACAAUUCUCCGCUCCACCUCACAAACCUCGAUUAAGAGAGAGAUUUCUGAGCGAUUGGCGUCGUUUCAAAGCCGAUGACGAUGAUAGAUCGUGGUUGCUUUAGGGUUCCGAUAGGGUGGUUCUAGGCGGCGUGGCGGCGGCGAAGUCGACGCGAUGGGGAAGCUAAUUUUGACAAAGAGGGUACACCGGUGGGUUAAAUAGCAGCAAAGAAAGGGUCAUUAACUUGAGGUGCUGCGUCGAUUAUUAUCAAGGAACGUUGUAAUUUGGAUUAUUAACUCCCUAUCGAACCCGAUUCUCAUCUCGAGGCAGGAUUUUUUUAAUACGUCUCAGUUUGGUUCCUGCGAAGUUAGGGUUCCGGUGAGUUUUCCGGUAAAUCGUAUUUCACAUGCUGAAGAUUCGGAACCGCGACGUUAGUAAUAUAGAAAAGCAAAACAAUUUUUAAAUUAUUUUGGUUUUGGCCAUGUGCAAAGCAAAAGGAAGAAUAAGAAAAUACAAUGAAGUUUUGAAGGUGUUGGACGGUUUGCUUCCAAGAUGAUAAAAAUGGAGAAAGGGUAUAAAGAAAACAGGAGCAUGAUGUGCAGGCCUACUUGACUUUUGUUUGCGUGGGCAUGGUCUUCUGAAAUUUAUAUCGACAACUCUUAAUUGAAGGUGUUGGAACAACAGCUGCUGGUCUUAGGUUGUGGUAACAAUCCUAACAAGUUUUUCGCACUUCUUUUUUCUUUCGGAAUGUUUGUUUCUAAAUUGUUCUUAGGACCCAACCACAAUUGUACUCUUUGGGGAAUAUUUCAUAUGUUUUUUUUUUUUUGUGAGUUAGUAAU
rnacentral:lncRNA from 1 species